CAGCAGCCACGGGAAUACAGAGGUCUCAAGCGUUGUUCGGAUUCAUUGGGCGUAAAGGGAGCGUAGGCGGUCGGGUAAGUUGGAUGUGAAAUCCUGGGGCUCAACCUCAGAACUGCAUUCAAUACUGCUUGGCUAGAGUAUUGGAGAGGUGAGUGGAAUUCACGGUGUAGCAGUGAAAUGCGUAGAUAUUCGGAAGAACACCAGUGGCGAAGGCGGCUCACUGGCUCAUUCUAGACGCUGAGGUGCGAAAGCGUGGGGAGCAAACAGGAUUAGAUACCCCCGUAGUCCCUGUCUCUUAUAA
rnacentral:rRNA from 1 species